rnacentral:rRNA from 1 species
UACGUAGGGCGCAAGCGUUGUCCGGAAUUAUUGGGCGUAAAGAGCUCGUAGGUGGCUUGUCGCGUCUGUCGUGAAAGCCCGGGGCUUAACUCCGGGUCUGCGGUGGAUACGGGCAGGCUAGAGGCAGGUAGGGGAGAAUGGAAUUCCCGGUGUAGCGGUGAAAUGCGCAGAUAUCAGGAGGAACACCGGUGGCGAAGGCGGGUCUCUGGGCCGAUAUUGACGCUGAGGAGCGAAAGCGUGGGGAGCGAACAGG